rnacentral:rRNA from 1 species
AUGCUAUCUGGUGACGGGAGUAAACAUGGCUCGGUAGCCAUUGGGGAUGGACUGAUACGUUGUCCUAGAACUCUCUCAGAGAUCAAGAAGCACCAGACGAGCUCUCUUCCUGAGAUAGGGCCUCGACCACGGCCAAUGGAGCUCGCCAUCAAGGCUAGGGCCCAAGAGCUUUUGGCGGAGGCAAAUAGGCAGGCUAAGCAGAGGGAGAUGGAGUUGGAGGAGAGGACGGCUAGCAUGUUGGAGGCGAUGAGGAACUGGAACAACGCGUCUCACCAGGCUCUAUACGAGCUCCUCGUGUCCAUGUGCGAGAAAAACGGUCAGACCCUCCGUCGAUGCCCCAGAUUGCAUGCCUCCCAACAAGCAUCGACCGAUCCUUCUCCAUCUCGCACUGGCGCAACCCCGACCCUGACCGGUCCUUCACCUCCAUGA